GUUUCUGCUGUUGGGAAAGAGAUGAGAGACUGUUAUAGGACUUCUCCCAAACAUGCAUACACCCAGUUCUCUACCUACGAAUUCCAGGCUGGCCAUUCAGUGGUAAUCUCCAACUAAAACCUUUCCCAGAUCACUUACGUGCACACAGGGUGUUCAUCACUGACAUGCACAAACAUUUUUACCCUUGGUAGCAUCUUUAUUGGAGGUCUGAGUGUUUUUGAAGAUAUCAUUACGUGUCAUGCCAAUAAACCAUGGUUAUGCAAUUAUCCAUUUCUCAGAACAAUUAUAGCUUAAAUCCAGGCUAAUUUCUUCCCCAGAUUUAAAUUGUCAAUCACAUUCUGUGAGAAGGUACUUAUACUAAUUGUUAUGUGAUUCUACAACUGAUGACUUAGGCUCCACCCAGGUCUUUGAACAUGAAUAGGCAAGGUUCCUCCUCAUGACACUUACUAUUGUCCAGCAGUUAGGUGGGUCCUUCAUGUAGAUAUCUUGCAUAGAUAUUAUUUCUUGCUUGUUAUGGCUUUUAUUCAUGCCUAAAAUAAUCGAGGAAAAAAAGAAAUAAACCUGAGAAACACCUUGAGUAGACUAGGGGAAUUAAAGUGUUGACAAGCUCACAAGACCAGGUAAGCACACAUGAUCAAAUAAUGUGAAAUUGAGGAAAAUACUGGUGAAUAGACAUACAUUUUAGAACAGUAUCAGUUAGAACAAAACUCAAUGUUUAAGUGAAAGAAAAAUAAAAUAAUGAUGGGCUGUUGCAGAGAAUAUCAGAGUGGAAAUCCUAAAAGAAAGACACUAGAAAUCAUGACACAGACCACAAUGUGAAAUUUCACCUCCAACGAGGUCAGGAACAUUGCUUGCCUGAGGCGAAAUGUAAGUACAGGUACAUGAAGAGAAACUGAUGUGGGAGAAAUAAUGACACAAUCUGAGGAAUGCUGUCUCACUGGCCACUCACAGUUUCUGAAGCUGUCGUUCACUCAAGGAAAUCUGCACUGACAUCAAUAAGACCCUGCUUACUCACUAGCCUUCUCACACUGAGUGCAUGUCUGCAGCUCACCUGGACUCCAGCCUUGGGGAGGUCCUCUUUCUUCCCUCCACAGCUCCCCUCUUUGCUCCCACGGGGAGAUCACAUCUGAUCUGAAGAAAUGACACCCUAUAUCAAUGGAGAAUGGUGUGUGAAUUUGCAGUUCCGUGUCGAGAACAGCACCUGAUAUUCUACUGUACAGGCAGCUGAGGAAGAACAUGAGUGUGGAAGAACAGCCCAGAGAAUAACACCUUGAACACUAAAAACAUUGAUAAAUGUUCUCAGGCUGACACUGCACCCAAAGACAGUAUGAUCUCUGGUUGCUGAUGCUCCUGCCCAAGCUGAGAGAGAGCAGAAGGCUUAGUGUUUGCAUCCAGAAGGAAUUAAAUGUUCUCACAAGGGGAUUACUAUUUUCAAAGGAAUACAAUACACAUAAGCUCCACCAGAAUAUUCUGUGGAGUUUUAUGUGGAAAGUGAUACAAGAUGUUAUAUUUUCUACCGUGCUCACCAUUCCCACACUGCUUAGGAGAGAAAAAUAUUUAGGAUGUUUAUUCAUUCAAAAAAUAUGCACUGUAUUCCCAGCAUUGUUCUGGGUCUUGGAGAAAGUGCAGUAGAUACACACUUGUGGCCAAGAAGUCUGUAUUCAAAUUAUCAUGUAACACACAUGAUGAAAGUAAAGAAAGUUACAAAUUCCAUCUAGUAUUCAGAAAUGCUACAAAGGUAUAUGAAUGAGGGCAGACAGCUAUAUUAGAAUAUGUGGAAGCUCUCCUGGAUACAAGGUUAAUAAACAAAAAGAUGGAUGGAUGGAAGAAUGAAUAGAUGGCGACAGACUCACCCACAGAGACCAGAUGACUAAUGUUCUCCAGCAUCACAUCUCUGUACAGCGUUCUCUGGGAUGUGUCCAUCAGGGCCCACUCUUCCUGGGUAAAGUCUACAGCUAUAUCUUUGAGGGUCACAGAUUCCUAAAAUAUCAGAUAUUGUUUCAGUAGGGCCAGGCUGAACAAUCCCUAGGGGACAGCUGUCAACAUGAUAGUGAUAGCAGAGUGAGGAACUGUAUGUAUAGAAACCUCAUUCCAUUUGUGAUUCAUAUCAAAUAUUCUCCCAUGCUGAUCUGCUUUUUGCCUUUCAGACACAUUAAAAAAACACACAAUUACUUCAUCAUAAAGGAAUCUCAAUAGGAAAUAACCUGGCAACAUUCUAAUAAGCUGGCAAUUUUGACUUUCUGGGUGGUAAUUAUAACCUAGGUUAAAUAGUACUAUUGAGAAGUGCCUGGCUGGCUCAGUUGGAAGAGCAUGUGACUCUUGGCCUCAGGGUCAUGAGUUUAAGCCCCAUGCUUGCUGUAGAAAUUACUAAAAAAAGAAAAAAUAUAUAUAUAUAUACACAUAUAUAUGAAUAGUGGUACUGAGAGUUCCAAUGAGCUAAUGUGCAGAUGCGUCUUUUACAGCAAACACUUCAUACAUACAAGUGUAGGUAUAUUAACAUUAAAGGUAGACACCUAUGAAGCAAUGCCCAGCAUUCUGCAGGAUGAACAACUCUCAUGCAGAACUUGAGGUCAGCAAGUCGCACCUCUCAUCUUAAAAACUCACUUGUUCUUUAUAAGGUAUCAGGGCAGACAGGUCCUGUGGUCCGGUUAGGGGCUCCUGAGAUGGCUCGUCCGAAGGAUGGCCCCACAGUGAUCUCUCCUGCAGUGAGCUCUCCAUUCUUAACAACAAUGAUGACUGCAUCAAUCCUCCGUAUGGUAAUCCUGUUUUUUCUGUUGAAAGGCAAUAGAAUCCUCUCGAUUACUUGUAGCCUCUCUAAUCCUUCUAAAAUUGCAACAGGAUUCUAAAUUUGACUCUAGUUUUAUCCACAUUCUGCCAAAUACAGAGUUAAUUUUUUGAAAAAUACUCCCUAGGCACUGUUUUCAGAUUUCCAAUUUUAAAAAGUUUAAUUAUAAUGGGGAAAAUGGGUGAAAAGGGAUAAGGGUAGUAAAGAGGAUUUAGUCAUCUUUGGAAGUUUCCAGAUUAGUCAAGUGUAUGUUACCAAACCUUUAGUAAGCUUAAAACUGAGGGGAAAAGAAAUGAUGGCUGAUUUCCUCUCUCAUACAAAUGUUUCUUGUACUCUCUGGAAAACUGCAGAGCUGACCUGCUCAAAGGCCCGCCUCCUCAGUGGAGUGUAAACUGCUGGUCCUACUCAUCUCUAGCACCUGUCACCACGUGCCGAGGUCACUGCAGCCACUACCAUGGCCCACGGGUAAAUCACCCCCCAACCAAGCCCAUACACUGCAUGAGGAAGGAAAACUCUGCAUAUUUCUUUUCUGCAAGGACAUCCUUAAGGAGCAUGAGAUGCACUGGUGUAAAUGCUGGAAAGGAGACUUCUUCCUGAUCCAUCCCUGACCAACAAACAGUAUCUGCGCGUCCUGGCAACAAUGAACUAGAACCCAGACCCUUGAAAACUGCCUGGAUGCACUUCGAAGACUUGGGCCAAGAGAAGCCUUCCCAGCCACAGGCAACAGAGGCAUCAUUCCAGAGAAGGAUCGCGUAUCCACCCACCUGCAGUUGCAUUAUCAAGGGUUCGGCCACCACGUCUCUUCCUCCGGAUUUCCACUCACAGAGAAUGCAAACCGUAUGCAGGAAAAGCUGGGCAAGGAGAGAGAAGCCAAGAGACUCCAGUCUUACCCACAAUUCCCAGACCAUGAAUCAGGUCAUGAAUCCCUGAUGCGCCUGCAUGCAACCCCCCAGCUCCCCCUACAAGAACAUGCCACAUGCCCUGAGACAAUUGCGGGAGCUCUCACUUCUGCUUGGGUCAGAAGUGACAAGGCUUUGGCUACUGCUGCUCGUCAAUAAGAUAGGAAUAUUCUUUUUUAUUUUCAGACAAGGCAAUGAAAAUCAUUAUUUCUAAGUUAACUGCCAACUUUUCAUAGGGAUAUUUAAUUCCCUCCCUGAACCCCAAACCUAAAAGUGCCUGACUUAGAAAACGUACAAUGCAGAGGUUUUGUUUUAUGAGGGAAUAUAUUUGUUCAAUCUGACAUUUUAGUACAGUUGUCACUGGAAUAUUGUCGUAUAUCAGUCAUCACCACAAAUGAGACCCCAGCAUUUCAUCAAUCGUAUAUUUAAACAU